GACGAACGCUGGCGGCGUGCUUAACACAUGCAAGUCGAACGGAAAGGCCCUGCGUUUGUGGGGUGCUCGAGGGGCGAACGGGUGCGUAACACGUGAGUAACCUGCCCUUGACUUUGGGAUAACUUCAGGAAACUGGGGCUAAUACCGGAUAGGAGCUCCUGCAGCAUGGUGGGGGUUGGAAAGUUUCGGCGGUUGGGGAUGGACUCGCGGCUUAUCAGCUUGUUGGUGGGGUAGUGGCUUACCAAGGCUUUGACGGGUAGCCGGCCUGAGAGGGUGACCGGCCACCUUGCGACUGCGAUACGGCCCAGACUCCUACGGGGGGCAGCGGUGGGGAAUCUUGCACAAUGGGCGGGAGCCUGAUGCAGCAACGCCGCGUGCGGGAUGACGGCCUUCGGGUUGUAAACCGCAUUCGCCUGUGACGAAGCGUGAGUGACGGUAAUGGGUAAAGAAGCACCGGCUAACUACGUG
rnacentral:rRNA from 1 species